rnacentral:ncRNA from 1 species
AAUGCGGAAUCCGAAAAGCUAUAACAGAGUAGGAA